UGGAGGAUAUGACGAUCCUUUCCCCAGAUGAUCGACGAUGAGCAUAAUGUGCGCUAUUGUUCUCUUAAGAGAUAAUCAAGCCAGAACUAUGAUUCUCCA
rnacentral:snoRNA from 1 species